AGCUUUGCUCAGUGGCAGUAUCGUAGCCAAUGAGGUUUAUCCGAGGAGCGAUUAUUGCUAAUUAAAAUCCCAUCUAUAGUUUUCACAUGCACAAGGCUAUAAUACAGAUAGACGAGCAAGUAUAAAGGAUAAUUAUUAAUGUCUGCAUUUCUAAUUUAUACUCUUCUGGGAUAGGAAUUUCUACACAUUUAAACAUUAA
ensembl:snRNA U4 U4 spliceosomal RNA